CCUACGGGAGGCAGCAGUGAGGAAUAUUGGUCAAUGGCCGGAAGGCUGAACCAGCCAUGCCGCGUGAAGGUCAGUGCCCUAUGGGCGUUAAACUUCUUUUGUGCGGGAGCAAUAAUGGUCACGUGUGGCCAGACGAGAGUACCGUACGAAUAAGCAUCGGCUAACUCCGUGCCAGCAGCCGCGGUAAUACGGGGGAUGCAAGCGUUAUCCGGAUUUAUUGGGUUUAAAGUGUGCGUAGGCUGUGAGGUAAGUCAGCGGUGAAAUGCCCCCGCUCAACGGGGUGAAGUGCCAUUGAUACUGCCUGGCUGGAAUGCGGAUGCCGUGGGAGGAAUGUGUGGUGUAGCGGUGAAAUGCAUAGAUAUCACACAGAACACCGAUUGCGAAGGCAUCUCACGAAUCCGCGAUUGACGCUGAUGCACGAAAGCGUGGGUAUCAAACAGGAUUAGAUACCCGAGUAGUC
rnacentral:rRNA from 1 species